UACGUAGGGCGCAAGCGUUGUCCGGAAUUAUUGGGCGUAAAGGGUGCGUAGGCGGCCUGACAAGUCUGAUGUGAAAUCCCUGGGCUCAACCCAGGGCCUGCAUCGGAAACUGUCGGGCUUGAGUAUGGGAGAGGUGAGUGGAAUUUCCGGUGUAGCGGUGAAAUGCGUAGAUAUCGGAAGGAACACCUGUGGCGAAAGCGGCUCACUGGACCAUUACUGACGCUGAGGCACGAAAGCUAGGGGAGCAAACAGG
rnacentral:rRNA from 1 species